GCGCCGACAGCGGACCCAAGAUGGCGACCGAGUUGGAGUACGAGUCUGUGCUGUGUGUGAAGCCAGACGUCAGCGUCUACCGGAUUCCGCCCCGGGCCUCCAACCGCGGUUACAGGGCCUCUGACUGGAAAUUAGACCAGCCUGAUUGGACUGGUCGCCUCCGAAUCACUUCAAAAGGGAAGACUGCCUAUAUCAAACUCGAGGAUAAAGUUUCAGGGGAGCUCUUUGCUCAGGCACCAGUAGAACAAUAUCCUGGUAUUGCUGUGGAGACGGUGACAGAUUCUAGCCGCUACUUUGUAAUCCGGAUCCAGGAUGGUACUGGUUUGUUCAGGUAACUUGCAUUGGCCAACAGAAUCAGAGCAAAUACAACGUACACCUUAUCUGAAUAAAGGAUGCUACUACAUGGUUCAGCUUACAAGGAGCUAUUCUGUGAUCUCAGCUUCCAGAAUGAGAAAACACUUGGAGAGGGGCCAAGCAGAGUUGCAGUCAACUCCAAGGUGGCCCUAAGCACAAGUGUAAUGUAAGUGAGAAAUACAUGUUUGUUGUUGUAAGCCACUUGGAUUUUGGGGUUGUUGGUGAUACGGUGUAAUCCAGUUAUAAUGUGACUUAUUCCAGGGAGAGAGCUAUAGUUUUAGGAAUAUGGUUUGCUUUCUAAUUAUGAGCUUAGAUUGUAAAGACUCUGAGAAUCAAUGAUUGUUAUUUCAGGGAAUAUGUGUGCAUGUAUACCUGUCUACGUGCAUGUGCUGGUUAGGCCCAAUCAUUAAUUUGUGGAGAACUUAAAAUUCCCUUAUCCUUCCCUUAUGCUUUGUCAUUCCCCUUUCCCUUUUCUUACUAAAUAAUUUGAUUCUAAAUAAAGCAGUAGCAAGAUAGGUGUCUAUGGUGAGGUGGCUGGGAGAGCAGCAGUGGCCUGGCACAGGGGGAGAGCUUUAGCAGGGUGAGAAGGGUGACUAUGCAGGGUAUUGGCUUGACAGUGGUUCUGGAGCCCAAGCAGAGUGAGAAGAACAUCCCUUAGGGGUGGGAAAGUGUCCUGGCAUGGGGAACCAGAGCGAGGAGAUGUCCACUCCUGGCAAUGGCCCAGUGCAGGGUGUCAGAGGAUAAGAUUGAGGAGGGUGUCCAUAGUAGGGGUAGCCUGAUGUGAGAGGUCAGAGUCUGAGAGGUAAAGAAGGCAUCUAUGUGGUGGGAUAGUCAGGUGCAGUGAGUUGGAGUGCA
ensembl:lncRNA novel transcript